UACGAAGGGGGCUAGCGUUGCUCGGAAUCACUGGGCGUAAAGCGCACGUAGGCGGAUUGUUAAGUCAGGGGUGAAAUCCUGGAGCUCAACUCCAGAACUGCCUUUGAUACUGGCGAUCUUGAGUCCGGGAGAGGUGAGUGGAACUGCGAGUGUAGAGGUGAAAUUCGUAGAUAUUCGCAAGAACACCAGUGGCGAAGGCGGCUCACUGGCCCGGUACUGACGCUGAUGCACGAAAGCGUGGGGAGCAAACAGG
rnacentral:rRNA from 1 species